GGAAGUAAAAAGUCGUAACAAGGUUUCCGUAGGUGAACCUGCGGAAGGAUCAUUACAGAAUUUUGAGAAUUGUGCUUAACUGCACUUUUCUUAUCUACACACGUGUUUUUGUUUUAUUCUUAAAACUUGCUUUGGCAGUGGCUGCUUAAUUGCUCUGCUGCCAGAGGAUAAACUCAACCUAAAUUUUUUAUUUUAAACUAGUCAACUGAUUAUAUUUAUUAAUAGUCAAAACUUUCAACAACGGAUCUCUUGGUUCUCGCAUCGAUGAAGAACGCAGCGAAAUGCGAUAAGUAAUAUGAAUUGCAGAUAUUCGUGAAUCAUCGAAUCUUUGAACGCACAUUGCGCCCUCUGGUAUUCCGGAGGGCAUGCCUGUUUGAGCGUCAUUUCUCCCUCAAACCCCCGGGUUUGGUGAUGAGCAAUACGCCAGGUUUGCUUGAAAGUUAGGAGGAGUAUUUAUAACAAUGUAUUAGGUCUAACCACUCCAUUGUGCUUAAUAAAAGCUCCAAUCUAUAUUUCAAACUUCGACCUCAAAUCAGGUAGGAUUACCCGCUGAACUUAAGCAUAUCAAUAG
rnacentral:rRNA from 1 species